rnacentral:lncRNA from 1 species
CCUUUCUCCAAACAACGUUGCCACACGCGGAGAGCACGGAGAUUUCUGGGGCUUUGGAGGGAAUCGUGAGCGGGCGGGAGGAGGCCGGGGACCACACAGAGAAUAACUUGUCUGACUACCAGUAUUCUUGGAUGCAGAAGUGCUGAAGAUGAGCACACACACGUACGGAGAAUUUCUGGAGAAUUCAGCUGCUCAGAACAAGAACUGAGAUCCAGAGAGAUGAUGACUUUGCCCAUAGACCAAACAAAGAAAUACAUGUUUCAGUCCUGUGUCCUCCUGCUAUGUGUGUCCGGAAUUGGUGGGUUCUUGGUCUCACUGACUUCAAGAAUGAAGCUGCGGACCCUCGCGGACCGUGUGUGAAUGCCUGCUCUGUGAGCCCUCAGAAUCUACUGGCUGAAUGAGUGCGUGGAGGAAAUGUGCUCAGAGCUGCUGUGUGUCAUCCUGUGUUUGAAGUGCUCCUGCAGCUAUCAUUCAUCCAGUUAAGAAUUUGAAGAAGUGUGUGCACAAAGACGGAGUCUCACUCUGUUGCCCAGGCUGGAGUGCAGUGGCACAAUCUCGGCUCACUGCAACCUCUACCUCCUGGAUUCAAGCGGUUUUCCUGCCUCAGCCUCCAGAGUAACAGGGAUUACAGGCAUACUCCACCUUGCCCUGCUGAUUUUGUAUUUUUAGUAGAGACAAGAGUUUCACCAUGUUGGCCAGGCUGGUCUUGAACUCCUGACCUCAAGUGAUCCACUGCCUCAGCCUCCCAAAGUGCUGGGAUUAUAGGCGUGAGCCACUGCGCCUGGCCAAAUGCUCUACUUUUUAAUCAAUGUUUUCCAAAAUAGGGAUUUUUGCUAUGUGCUUUAGAAAUUAGAGAACAAACGGUGAUAAUAUAUGCUAAACUUAAAAUUAGUAUGCCUCCUUUUAUAGACAACAAGAACUUUGUCACUUCCCAGUUUGUCUUGUCAUUCAGGAGGCUCAGAGCUACGAUCUGUGCCCACUCGUGCUGCCUCUUCUUAACUUUGAUUUCCUGAAGCAGCGAUUUCAUCUCCGUUUCCCCUCAUCACCUGUUCUUUUAACUGUUUAAAAACAGCAUUACAUGUUGUUGCAAGUGGCCUCAAAUUCUUUUUGGUAGAAGGGAAAUUGUAAUCCAUGAGAAGAAAAAAAUUUUCCUAACUAUUCUCAGGUGUGUUUAAGGGCUGCAUUCCAUGAUGCUAUCAGUGCCUUCUUUCAGCUCACAGGAUAUCGGCCAUGUUAAUGAGUCUGAUGUUGCUAGUAUCACAGGCACCGGAAAAUAUGCACAUUAUGCUGGAGCAUUAGAAUGCAACAGAAAGAGCCCUGGGCUUGGAGUAUGCAGAACUGGUUCUUGUUACAACUCCUCUUACUAGUGGGCUCUGGAAGAAAACACAUUGAAUUCAUGAUCAUGGUUAACCUUUGGAGAGAGAGAGGAGACCAGGAUGAAGGAGCCAGUCGAAGAUCCUGUUCAAGUGUACACUGAGCCAGCAGGUUCACCAGAAAGCUAUUGAGCGUUUGCUGGAACACAUUAUGCAGGGUGAAUUUCUUCUGGAAUGUUGCCAAGGAUUUUUUAUGCUUCUGUGGCAGGCAUUUCUUGAACAUUGUCAUUUAGCCAAGCAAAGAAGAUUUUCUUAAAGGAUAGAAAAUGUUUAAAAAUUUUUGUUUGUUUGAAGAUAGGUUAAAUGGCUAUAUGAUCUCAGGAUAAGACAGAGAAAAUCACUUAUUUCUCUAAGUGAUCUGAUUAGGUUAGUGAUGUUUUGCCUUUAAACAGAUUCAUCAUUAUUCCUAAAGUAUUGCUGUAUUAAUACUGUCUUCUAGAAAGUAUCCACCAGUGCCUACUUUUCUUCGAUAUCAUUAGCUGUUUUUCGAAACUGAAUUUGCUCUUCAGAGAUUUCUCAUAUGUUUGCGUAUAAGGAACUACUGGUAAUAGCCAAGAAAAUUUGGAGGUGCAGAGAACAUGCUGAAACAGAAUUUUUCACUUUCAAUUCUAGAACUAUGCCAUAAAAAAAAAGGAAAAUGUAAAAAUGUCUUUAUAUUAGAGCAGAUAUUUUAAAAGUAUUGCAAAUUCAAUGAUAAAUUCUAAGGUUAAAAUUGGACACAUAAAAAAUACAAUAUAUAAAUAUCUCCCCAGAAAUUAUUAUCUAAUGAAUAGUAAAAGCUGACUACAAACCAUGUCAUUUUAACAAGGGUUUAAAUAGUACCAAGAUUCUCAUCAUAUGCUCUGGGAUACCCAGUGAUGUACAAGGGUUCUCUCUAAACAUGGGGAGGAAAAAUUUCAAAUAUAAAGAUUUGAAUCUUGUCUUUGCCAUUCACUAGCUGUGUGAUCUUGGGUAAGUUACCUGGUUUCUCUGAGCUUCAGUGUCAUCUGUAAAACAGGAAUAAUAAUACCUAGCUCAGAGGCGGGUGUGGUGGCUCACGCCUGUAAUCCCAGCACUUUGGGAGGCCAAGGCAGGUGGAUCACUAGGUCAGGAGUUUGAGACCAGCCUGGCCAAGAUGGUGAAAUCCUGUCUCUACUUAAAAAAAAAAAAAAAUAGCCAGGCAUGGUGGCAGGCACCUGUGAUCCCAGCUACUCAGGAGGCUGAGGCAGGAGAAUCGCUUGAACCCGGGAGGCGGAGGUUGCAGUCAGCUGAGAUCUCGCCACUGCACUCCAGCCUGGGCAAUAGAGUGAGACUCCGCCUCAAAUAAAUAGGUAAAUAAAUAAAUAAAUAAAUAAAAGUAAAUAAAUAAAUAAAUAAAUAAUAAUACCUAGCUUAUGGGGCUGCUGUGGGUGUUUGUAAAGUAUCUCAAUGGUGCCUACAUAUUGUAAAGGCUUAUGAAUAUAUUAGUUCCUUUCUCAACUUCCUCAAUUCAUUCCACCACUACAAGUCAAUCUAGAGAUUAAAAUAGGCAAAACUGUGAUCUACGUUAGGAUGGGGUUGUUUGAGUGGUGGUUUAUUUCUGACUGCUUCAUUUUAUACUUGUAUUUUAAAUAUACAAGUUUUUGUAAACAUUCCUAAAACAAAACAGAUCUGUUUUUAUUUUGAAGAAGAUCGGACAGAUUCUGAUAUAAUGUUUGGAGAACUAAAUUAUACACAGAAUUUUGUCUCUGAAGAGUUAACUCUAUCAUGAAAAUGCACUCAGUGAAAAGCAAACAUCAUGCCACCUUUCCAUACACGGUAUUAUGUGUAUUUGAAUGAACGCAUAUGGAAAAACAUGGCAAUUCUUCUUUUAUGCCUAAAUCCUAUGGAAUUUGCCGGCUCCUGUAUUUAAGUCUGGGCUGUGAUGGUAAACUUGGUUCCUGUCAACUGAGUGUUGUUAUGUCUUUGGCACAUUCCCACAGCCGAACCUCCCGUCUGUAACCUGCACCUGCAGUUCACAGGAUUCAGCUCGGAGAGCUCUGUACUUCCGGGCCACUCAGGUACUUGUUAGUGCAGACUGUAAGUUUCUACCCCACAGUUUCUCCACCAGUUUAGAUACUGCAAACAUUUGGGUUUUGCAGUUUCUGCAAUUUUUGUUUGGGUUCUUUAAAAACAGCUCUUCCCCCACCCCUGGCACACCACCAUCUCUCCAAGGCACUCAUUGUGAGAUGGGAAGCCUGGCGCCUGUCGUUUGUAUUCCAGAUCGAAACUAGCAGAAUUGAGAUUUUCCUCCCUUUUUAGUGCCAUGACAAACAAAAGAGGAUAUGACAUGUAUUUAUUGUUUGGUAAAAUGCAGAAGUAUCAAUUCCAGGAGACGCUGCAAUUCCUUCAUCUUUGCCUUGAGUUGUUUAUGUGAACUAUGGCCCUGUUUGUAGGAGACAGAGAGAAAGUAUGAAUUUGGUGGGAAUGACGGGGGUUGGGGGGUGGGGGGUGGGGAGGAGGAGGUGGUGUGGGAAAACAACUCUCUCUUUUGCCAUGAGGAUCCAAUUCCUGGAAAGAGCACGGUUAAUGGCAAAUAAAAUUUCCUGGUCUUUGGGGCCAAGAUUUGUGUUGUGUGAGUGUGCUUUAUAAGCCUGUCACUGUUAGAUGCAGGCUUAUGCUUUUACGGCUGUCUUUAGCUUUAGCUUUUGUGGUUCUUCCGCCUGUACAGUAUGCUCUUCCAAGGCAACUGUGGCUCAUUGAGAGACCAGGCUAAAGCAGAAUAGAGCAGAUAAACAAAUUCAUAGGAGUCAAUAAUUUAAUUUUUUUAAUUUUUUUUUUUUUGAGAUGGGGCCUUGUUCUGUUGUGGAGGCGGGAGUACAGUGGCAUGAGCACGGUUCACUGCAGCCUUGACCUCUGGGCUCAAGCAAUCCUUACACCUCAGGACCCCACACUCAGCCCCCCGAGUAGUUGGGACUACAGGUGCGCAUCACCACACCUAGCUAAGUUUUAAAAUUUUUUGUAGAAUCCACAUCUCCCUAUGUUGCCCAGGCUGGUCUCAAACUCCUGAGCUCAAGUGAUCCUCUGGCCUCAGCUUCCCAAAGUUCUGGGAUUACAGGCAUGAGCCACUGCACCCAGCCACAAUUUAAUUUCUUUAAAAAACCAUUUCAAAAGACAAUGGCAGAAAAACAUGUGGCCAAAACAGCACCUACCCUUAAACGGACUCUUGAUUGAGGGGUGGAGCUGGAGGCAGAUGUAAUACAUCAAUAGGGGUUCUUAAAUAUUCUAAAAUAAUUAUUGGAAAGAUAGUACUGAGGAGGCAUGGGUCAGUCUGAUGCUUCUUGAUCACACUGAGGCUUGAGUUAAGGUCUAGGGAGUUUUCAGCACGGGCAUCAGAAUUUCUUUUUGAUCCCUCUUCUCCUUUACAGUGGUUUGAGAUAUGUCUUCUUCGUGAUGCUUGUGUGAGAGUAAAGGAGGACUCCAAACAAACAAAUGCAGGAAAUGAAUGUGUAGAGGAAGAAGUCAGGUGAUGCUGGUGUCCUGGGGACCACUCCACGGAAGGAGAAGACACUGGGAAUAGAAGACCUUUGAAAAUCGUGAUGGGCUUAAAGAUCCCAGCGCAGGUCCCACCACUUAUUCGCUCUCACCUGGCAUCUCAAUCUCUGCAUCUGUAAAAAUGAAGAAAAUAAUCCAUCUCCCUGGAUGACUUCAUGAGAUUUUUUGUAGUCAUCAGUGAGGUACUGUACAUAGACGUGCUGUAAGGACGAAAAGUUCUUCACAAUAGGAUGCAUGGGAAAGCAAGCAGGGAGCAGUGGAGGAGGCUGAACCCAGAACGUGGGCUGAGGAUGCUGGGAGGGAACAGGGUUGGGGGCUGAAUCCUAACAGGAGGAAGCUACUGAGCUGCUUCUGUAAGUUGGGCCUGGAUGGAAACCCUGGAAGCAGUAACUCCAAGAAAGAUUCAAAAGUGGGACAAGAAGAGCAAGAACCAGGAAUGGAAAAACUCCAAGGAACAUGAGUGAAGAGGUAGGUGCUGCAGAGGAGCCCUGGUUGGGGUGUCUAAGUCAGGGAUUCCUGCCCCAGCUCUGACCUGAACAGGUUCUUUGACCUUGAACACAUGGCUUCCACUUUCUGGGCUUUGGUCUUCUCCUCUGUGAAAAUGAUAAAGUUGGCCUAGAUGAACCCCACAGCACCAACUAGGAAUGGCAAAUAGUGCUAUGUCUUAGCCCAGGUCCAGGGCUGUGUGGAAGUGAUAUGGGAGGGGUACAGGGAUGGGUAGAGAAAGGCAGGGUCCCUGACAAGGGCUCCACCCUUGUGCCUGAGCCCACGGACCUAGGUGAGGACAGGCACUCCUGUUUCCUUGCCCAAAUGUUGCAUUUUCCAAGUCCACCCUGGCCCGUCACGCCCCCAAUCCUGUGCCUAUAAAAACCCCAAGACCUUAGCGGGCACAUACACUAAUAGCUGGACAUCAAGAGGAACACACUGGCAGAAGCACACACAAGUGGCUGGACAUCGACAGGAACACACUGGCAGAAGAACACAUAGACGCUGACAGACCAUCAACAGCAGAAUGACGCAGAGGGUGGUCGGAGGAGAGCCUGGCUGCUGAGCGGCCCGACUCCAGGGGAAGACCACCUUCCCACUCCAUCCCCCUUCUGACUCCCCAUCUAUCUGCUGAGAGCCACCUCCAGCAUUCAAUAAAACCUUGCACUCAUUCUCUAAGCCCACACAUGAUACAAUUUUUCUGGUGCACUAGGGCAAGAACCCGGGAUACAGAAAGCCCUCUGCCCUUGUGAUAACGCAGAGGGUCUAACUGAGGUGAUGAACACAAGCUGCCGGCAGAUAGCAAAGCUGAAAGAGCGCACUGUAACACACGCCCACUGGGGCUUAGGAGCUGUAAAGACUCAACCCUAGAUGCUGCUGUGGGGUUGGAACCCACGCUCCCCGUGACCUGCCCAUCUGCCUGCUCCCACUAGGGGUCUGAGUAGCAGGCACCGAAGAAGUGAGCCACGCCCUCUUCACACACCCUUUGAGGAGGACAAGGGAACUUUUCCUGUUUCAGAAAGUUGUGUUGAGAAGAAUGGCAAGGCUAACAGGGCAGGUGUCCGGGCGGAGGGGCGGAACUGGCUGUUGGCAUGUGGUGGGGGAGAUGCUUCAUCCGGGUCUUGCAUUUGUUCCCUCUGACACCAGCCUCGAAAAAACAGGACACUCACAGUUCAGGAAACUACCAAGGGUCCAAGGAGAGGCCUUGCUUGGCCGUGGUGUGGUCCUGCAACUCCAGGGCAGACCUAGACUCAUGGGAAAGUCCCUGCUUUGUGAUGAGGCUGAAAGAGGAUGAGUGGGGAGUGGCCGGAAGAAGAAAGGGUGUAACCAGAGACCAGUGUCAACAAGGAAUCUGGCUUGGAACGCUUUUGUCUGCAGCCCUCUUUGGAGCGUGACUUGCUCUUUCAGAGGUCUGUAUUUCUCUACCUGGACUACCCUGAGAGCUAACCCCAGUUAUUGGUCUGGAAGCAACGAAUGAAGGCCGGGGCAGAGCUUGAGGAGGGCAACAUCAUUUUGUCACAGUCGCCAUCAAGAAUCUAGUUGCAGACUGGGCGCUGUGGCUCACGCCUGUAAUCCCUGCACUUUGGGAGCCAAGGUGGGUGGAUCACUGGAGCCCAGGAGCUCAAGAGCAGCCUGGGCAACGUGGUGAAAGCCCAUUUCUACAAAAAAAUGCAAAAAUUAGCAGAGUGUGUUGGUGCAUGCCUGUGGUCUCAGCUACUCGGGAGGCUGAGAUGGGACGAUUGCUUGGGCCUGGGAGGUCAAGGCUGCAGUGAGCUGUGAUCACACCACUGCACUCCAGCCUGAGUGACACAGCAAGAACCUGUCUGAGAAAAAAAAAAUCUUGUUUCACCUAGAUCUGAAGAAGAAAACAGAAGCAACAUUCAAAUUAACAUCAGUCAACUGAUGGAAUAUUUUAGAUGAAGUAAGAGAAGCCAAGGCAUGUACCCUCAGGCUCUGGGCUUCUCCCUGCAAGGUUGGGAAGAAAUUUGGAGGAGGCAAAGUGGGAGCAAGUCAGAUGGAAGAGACAUUAUGGGUCAGGUGGGUGAGAACUGUGGGAGGGAGGUUCAGGGUGCUCCAUUUAGCAGGUUUUUCAUAGUGCCUGUGCAGUCCAGGGCUCUGAUUUCUGUAAGCAGAACGAUGUCAUUCAUUCUUUUAUUCAUCUAUUUGUUAAGUCAACAUUUAUUGAGAGUCUCUUAUGCUACUCACUGUGCUAGGUGGUAGGGCUCAAAGAUGAAUAAAACGCUGUUUCCUUUUUUUUCAGAAAUUCAUAGUGUAGUGGGAGGUGGACCAAAAUGCCAUUGACUUGAUUGCCUGACACUGACAGGUGCUGAAAUAGAGGAAUAUACGGGAUGCCAUGGGAGGCCAGAUGAAGUGAAAAACCCACUCUUACUGGUGUGUGUGCACACACAGGAGGAGUUACGCAAUGCCUUGUCUGGUUUCCUGUCCUGGCACAUUUCCAUUGCUUAUUUCUAGAGCCACUUGACCGUAAUAGCUGGUCAGGGAUAAUGUAAAGAAUCUUCAUUUGGCAGCUCUGAGGACUGCCCAGUCAACCUUCCCUUCUGUCCUCAGCACAUAUACCUAGUUUCUUACUCGCUUUUGUGACUCAUCUCCUCUUGUACCCUAGACAUCUUUUCUAUUUUUAUACCUCUUGCACCCUCAAAGAUCCCUUGAGACUCUCUUGCCUAAACCUCUUUUAGGCAAAUCCUACCUCCUUUUCUCUAUACCUGCUUUGAGAGAAGGGGAAAAUGUCUUAAUAUAUGCACUAAUUAGGCCCCUUGAUGGUCUAAUUUCAGCCUUACAUUGUUUCGUUUUGUAAAUGAGCCCCAGGGAAGUUAAGUAAUUUGUCCAAAUUCACACAACUAGAAAAGACAAAAGCAGGACAUUGAAUGUAGAGCCAAUAUUCAGAGUACCUGAUUUUAGACCCAGUAUUCAAAGCACCGACUGCUAUGGUCUGAAUGUGUUCCCUCCAGAUUCAUGUGUUGAAAUCCUAACCCCCAAGUUGAUACUAUUAGGAGGUGGGACCUUUUCAGAUGCGACUGGGUCAUGAGUGUGCAGCCCGCAUGAUUGGGAUUAGUGCCCUGUCAAAUAGGAGAGACUGCAGAGAGCUAGCUAGCUCCUUUUCACCAUGUGAGGGCACAGUGAGACAGCCCUGUCUAUGAGGAAGUGGCUCUCACCAGACACUGUUGGCACCUUGACCUUGGACUUCUCAGCCUCUAGAACUGUCAGAAAUAAAUAAAUUUCUGUUGUUUAUAAGUGACGGAGUCUAAGAUAUUUUGUUAAUAGCAACCUGAAGGGACUAAGACAUUUACCAAAACCUUAAAGGCUCCCAGAUAAUCACCUCUAAAACACUCAGUCACAACAUUUUUCUAUUCAAAGUCUCCAGGGAGAAAAGACAAAGCACUACAAAGACUGCCUUGUAGUAUUACAAUCUCUUCACUUUUUCUAUCAAAUGUCCUGUUCCCCCUGUGCACCUAGAGACUCACAAGGCAUUUAACAUCUCUGCCUUGUGAGCCUAGAGGUACAUGAGGGGCAGAACCUUUGAUAGAAAAAGUAUGUGCAUGCGCACACACAGACAUAUAUAUAUACACACACACGUAUAUUUCUGCUUAGUAGAUACCACCAAACAAUUUUCCAAAGUGAUUGCACCAGUUUACAUUUCCACCAGCAGCAUAGGCAGUAAUUAUCCUCUUCAACAUUUGGUAUUGUCAGUCUUUUGAAUUUUAGCCAUUCUGGUGAGUUUGUAAUAAAAUAUCAUUGAGGCAUUAAUUACAUUUACCUGAUUAUUAAUGAGAAUGAGCACUACUUUAAUAAGUAUAAUAUUUUCCAUAGGUUUUUUGAAGACAUUGUCUCUCAGAUUAGAGAUGGUCAAGGCCAUACAGUUUCUUUUAGCACAGCUUUAGCUACAUCAAACGAAUUUUGAUUUGUCAUAUUUUCAUGAUUAUUCUGUUCAAAAUGUUUUCUAACUUCCCACUGUGAUUUCCUCUCUGAAUCUAUAGGUUUAGUUAGAAGUAAAGUUAGAAGUUAGUUUGAAACUUCCAAACAUAUGGCUACUUUGUGAAUAUAGUUUUGUUAUUGAUUUCUAGCUCAAUUCCCCUGUGGUCAGGUAACAUACUCUGAUUUCAGUUCUUGAAAUUUGUUGAGACUUGCUUAAUGGCCCAGCAUUUUGUAAUUUUGGUGUAUGAACUAAGUGUGUAUUCUGCAGAUGUUGGGUGCAGUAUUCUAUGAAGACCGAUUAAGUCAAGUUUACAAAUGUAUACUCCUGUAAAUGUAAACUGAUUUUUGUCUUAUUAUUCUAUUAGAUCUCAGAGAGAGUAAUAAAAUUUGAAUCUAUGCUAUUAGUUACAUGUAAAUUUAGAAUUGUUGUAUGUUCUUGACAAAUCUAAUUUUCAUCAUCAUGAGGUCACUUUCUUUGUCUUUAGGAAUGCUUUUAACCUUAGUGUCUAGUUUGACAUUAUUGUUAAAUCUUUGAGAAUUCUGAUAUUUUAGUCUUGUGUUUUGUAAGUAGCAUAUCAAAUUCAGUGUUAUUCGAGAUAACAACCUUUGUCUUUUAAUCACUGAAUUUAAAUAUUUACAUGUUAUGUAAUUUGUGAUAUUUUGGGGUUUAAAUCUACCAUUUUGCUCAGCUUUUCAAUUUGUACUGCUUGUUCUAUGUUCCAUUUUUUUCAUUUCUUGCCUUCAUUUGCAUUGAUUGAAAAUUUUUAAAAGUUAUUUGAGUCCUAUAAAUUCUUGUGGUGAUUACACCAAAUAUUGCAAUAUGUAUAUCUGACAUAAAAAUAAAAUAUCAUUUGGUUGUUUUUUCUCUUCUGGGGAAUGCAUGUACUGUAAAACACUAUCACUCUGUCUCUCCUGACUUAAUGCUUUUUCAGUGUAUUAUAAUUUUCUAUAUAAUUCUCCACAAGAUUUUACUUUUGGUUUUAUAUAGUCAAUAUUCAUUUGUAGUUAUCAUGCCUUUCUGCAUUUCUGACUUUCUACCUGAAACCUUUUCCUUUUGCCUGAAGACAGAUUUAUAUAUACGUAGAUAAAUAAAUUCAAGUCUACUGGGGAUGAACUCUCCCAGUUUUGGUUUGUCUGAACAUGUCUCUUUUUACUUUCAUUCUUGACAUAUAUUUAUAUCUUGAGAGCAGAAUUCAGGGUUGGCAGUAAUUUUUUUUCAGCAUUUUGGAGCUAUUGUUCCAUUGUCUUUUGGCUCAGAAUGUUGCUGUUGAGGAAUAAGCUGUGAGUCUGAUUAUUGUUCCAUUGAUGGCAAUCUUUUUCUCUGGUUGUGUUGAAGAUAAUUUCUUCGUUCAUUUUUUUGUUUUUAAAUUUAACUAGUUUUUGAUUUCCUGAAUCCAUCAAUUGAUGUAUUUAAUUAGUUUUAGAAAUGAUUCAGCUGAUUACUCGUAAAUGAUGUUUCUGUUCCAUUACCUCUCUUCGUUUAGUAUUUCAGUUAAAUAUAUAUCAGAACUUUUCAUGGAUCUUUUAUAUCAGUGUCAUGAUUUGGAAAAAGAGAAGUACAAAAUUGAGAAUAAAUAUUCUGAAACCAACUGGCAGAGUAAUUUUAUGUCCUUUGAAUCCAAUAAAAAUUUGGGCAUAUAUUCAGUGUCUUUUUAUUAUUUCAUUGUUCUAAUAAUUCAUUUAAAUUACAUUUUACAAAGAUAUCAUUUUAUGACAUUUUGGAUUUUUUUUUAAGUUUGGAAAGUGCUUUACCAGCUUCCUUAACCUUCUUAUAAUUUUUUUUUAGCUUUGUCUUUUAGCUUUGUAGUAUGGAUAUUUUCUUCCAUACUACAAAUUCUCUCUUCAUCUGUUUGUAAUUAAAUGUGAAAGCUAUUGUGUUUUAAUUGUUAUUUUUUUAAUUCUAGCAUUUUCACUGGCUCUUUUAAAAAAUUAGUUUUCAGUUCUCCGCCAAAAGUCUCAAGGUUGACUUUUGUCUCUCUGAGCAAAUUAAAUAUAGUAUUAUUUGAAGUCAAUACACUUUUUUUUUUAAGUUGAAAAACUCUAAUUUCUGAGCCUUUGUGAUCUAUGUCUGUGAUUUCUUGGUUUUCAUUUGUGUGGUCUUGUCUUGUUUUUCUGUUUUUCUUUUAUUGUAUUCAGAUAUUUGUACUUAAAACAUUAUUUGUAGACAUAAUUAGAAUUCUAUAAUGAUGUUGUCAUUCUCCAAAGUGAAUUUAUAUUUACUUCUGCUAGGUACUUGGGGCCUUAGCAUUAUGGGAUCAUGUUAAUUCAAUUCCAGGUACUGUGAAACUGAGUUUCUAGAACCUUCUUUUGGUUUAUCAUUGUUUUUAGGGUACUGUCCUUCAGUGGCCCAUCCAAAUGCAAAGAGAUUCACCAGAGCUAUCCAGGCUUGGUGAUGCUGGGCCCCAAAAUUGGCCUUAGCUCUGUGAGACACUUUUUAACCACCUUCCCGCUCAGCCACUUGGCCUCUCAGUCCUGCUUUUAGAAAUUGGCAUAUGCUUCUAGGCACAGUGACUCACACCUGUAACCUCAGCACUUUGGGAGGCUGAGGCGGGUGGAUCACUUGAGGUCAGGAGCUCGAGACCAGCCUGGCCAACAUGGUGGCUGUCUCUACUAAAAAUACAAAAAAUUAGCCGGGUGCGGUAGUGCAUGCCUAUAAUCCCAGCUGCUUGGGAGGCUGAGGCAGGAGGGUCACUUGAACCCGGUAGGCAGAGAUUACAGUGAGCCGAGAUCGUGCCACUGCAUUCCAGCCUGGGCAACAGAGUGAGACCCUGUCUCAAAAAAAAAAAAAAAAGAAAAGAAAAGAAAAAAGAAAUUGGCAUAUACCGUAUUGGCAUAUACUGUAGAGAAAACUGCCCUACAUGCCGGACUCAACUCCCUUGGUCUCUAUCCUUUACCUGAUACUAACCCAGUAAUUCUGCACUAUCUUGUUAGCUCUCUAGCACACCGGAGUAGAUUUUUAAAGUAUAUUUUGUUUUGCUGAUUGUCCUCAGUAGGUGGGAUGGUAUGAAUUACCUAGUUCUCCAUUCCUAGAACAGGAAGUCUUAUAUAAUCUAGGUUUAACCAAAUAUCUCCAUUAAUGAGUAAGUGAUUAUGAAAAUAUUUUUAAAAAGAGGUUGAUUCUGGAGAUUUCCCUAAUAAUACAAAUUUAAUUGAACAACAAGAAAGGGCAGGGCUGACAUUUUUCUAGCCCCUUAUAUAAGUACUUCUUUAGUUACAUUACCAGAGAAAGCCAUGAACAAAAUAAUUUGGCCAAAAAAUUGUGAAAUUAUUCAGAUAAAUGUGAUCUUUUAACAAUAAAUGAGGAAGUAACCAUGUUUAAUGCUAUGAGUAGAGCAUUUUGAAAAUGGAUAUUUGGGAAAUCUCCAAUAGUUAUGUAUUUUUAUUGCCAAAAAUGCAGUGAAUAUGCCUCUUUAAAAACUCUCGUAUCUACAUACUUGGAAAUGGAAUUUUUAACCUUUUAAAAAUGAUAAAUAAACAGUUCUAGGGGACUUUGAAUCAACUUUUUUAAAGUUUGUAUUAACAAGUAGUUGACAUUAGGGAAGAUAAAAAUUUACUAUCCAAUUUUUAUUGGAAACUUUAAUUGAUGGAUAGGGUUGAAAAACAAGUAUCAUACUUUAGUGAGAUAAGCAAUAAAGUUCUUUUCUUGUUUUAAUUAAAGUAUUUUGGAAGUAUCUUUUCCAUGUCUGAUAACUAUUAAAACCAAGCACCAGGCCAGGCAUGGUGGCUCACGCCUAUAAUCCCAGCACUUUGGGAGGCUGAGGCGGGUGGAUCAAGAGGUCAAGAGGUAGAGACCAUCCUGGCCAACAUGGUGAAACCCCGUCUCUACUAAAAAUACAAAAAUUAGCUGGGCGUGGUGGUGCGUGCCUGCAGUCCCAGCUACGCAGGAGGCUGAGGCAAGAGAAUAGCUUGAACUUGGGAGGUGGAGGUUGCAGUGAGCCAAGAUCACACCACUGCAUUCCGGCCUGGCGACAGUGAGACUGUCUCAAAAACAAAAAACAAAAAAAACAAAAACAAAAAAAACCAAGCACCAAAAGAAAUGAAUGUAAAAUCAGACCUUUUAUUCAUAGAGGUUUAAAUAGUGAAGCAUAUUCAAUCACACAGCUCUCAUCAAAAUAUUAUUAAUGAGAAUUUCAAAGGUAAGCGCAAAAUAGUUUUUGCAUCAUUAAUAACAUUAUAAAAAUGUGAAAUAUUUUAUAUUUCAACUUUCAUCAUUUUACUUUUUCUAUAUAUUAUAUAUACUGUGUUUUCUAUAUGUUAAGUGUACAAUGUCUAUAUUAUAUAUACAUAUAUAAAAUUUAAAACUGAAUAAAAUAUAUACAUUUUAGGAAUGCUUACUCAAAAGUUUUUAUUGGUUAGUCCCAAAAAUUUGGUGACCAUUAUUUAGGGUUGCCUCUGGAAAGUUGCCUUCUAAGUUUUACCAGUUUGGAUAAGUGGUCUCUACCCGCUACCCUCACCCCAUUUUCCUCCCACUGAACUCUGUUUAUAUUGUUCAUAGUACUUAUCACAAACUAUAAUUAUAUAUGUAUUUGUUUGUUUACUUAUUUAUUAGAUUAUGAGCUCCAGGAUGGUAAGGGUUAUGUUUGUUUCUUUUUUUUGUUUUUGAGACGGAGUCUCGCUCUGUCGCCCAGGCUGGAGUGCAGUGGCGCAAACUCGGCUCAUUGCAAGCUCCGCCUCCCGGGUUCAUGCCAUUCUCCUGCCUCAGCCUCUGGAGUAGCUGGGACUACAGGCGCCCACCAUCACGCUUGGCUAAUUUUGUUUGUAUUUUUUAGUAGAGAUGGG